rnacentral:tRNA from 1 species
ACCUGUAGCUCAGUUGGUUAGAGCAUCCGGCUCAUAACCGGACGGUCCUGGGUUCGAGUCCCCGCAGGUC